UACGUAGGUGACAAGCGUUGUCCGGAUUUACUGGGCGUAAAGAGCGCGCAGGCGGUCGUUCAAGUCGAGUGUGAAAGCCCCCGGCUCAACUGGGGAGGGUCACUCGAUACUGAUCGACUCGAAGGCAGGAGAGGGUAGUGGAAUUCCCGGUGUAGUGGUGAAAUGCGUAGAUAUCGGGAGGAACACCAGUGGCGAAGGCGACUUACUGGACGAUUGUUGACGCUGAGGUGCGAAAGCGUGGGGAGCAAACAGG
rnacentral:rRNA from 1 species